AUGUCAGCGGUGCAGGCUUUCAGCGCGCUUACUCCAGCCCUGAUCAGUCAUGUAAUUAGAUCAGGCUGCCAUGGUAACAGACGGGAUUCACCGUAUUCACCGGCCAGCCAGGUGCGUGUGUGGCUGGCGGGCGACCCAGCGGGCUACCGCCAGCCCUGCGUGUGCCGCGUUGGUGGCGUACGGCCGGCGCGGCCACCGCCUCAGGCUUUCCGACAAUUGAAAGAUGCCGGUGCUGGGUUCCUAAUGGCCGGACUUCUCGGGAAGGGUGUUCUUUGCCCACUGGAGUGUCAGGCAGAUGGGACCGUACGUGGCACGCUUAGCAGUCACAUUGCAGGCCAAGCCAGAUGGGCAAGCAAUACAAGCUGUGAAUUUAUUCUUGACCCCGUAGGACAGUGACCACCGUCAUUUUUGUCUUCACCAUACAGUUAUGCACUGCCAAUAAGUGAAAAGGUCAAGAAAAGCAGUAGCUCAGUGGCUGAAUUUUUCUGAAGCAGGGAAAGUGGGGAAACCUCUUAAAGUGGUGUCUUAUUCAGUAAGUUGAACCUUUUUUCCUUCAGUUAAUUAAUUUAUUUAAUUACUUUUAAUUUUUUAAAUCCUAAGUUCCAGAAUAAUUAUGGUUACUUAUAAGGUAUCCCCAGGCAGGUGUGAAGAUCCUCAUCCCCACGUUGGCUUUCCCCCUCCCCCGGAAGUGGUCUUUGCCAAACGAAACCUGUCAGCCCACUUUGGCAGAUAUGGAAGGGCACAGCUGACUCAAACCCUACCAUGACAUGACUGUCCCUCUGCCCUCCUGGGGCUGGCUGCUGCAUUCCUGUUCAGAGACCUGCACUAUCAAGUGCAUGCCUCUUUCUUUGGCACUUGCCCUGCACGUGUGUGUGAGUGCACCCACACGCUUCAGCAGUGCCCGUCUUUGU
rnacentral:lncRNA from 1 species